rnacentral:rRNA from 1 species
UGGGUCCGCCCCCAGCCCGGUGCCGUCCCCAUCGGGGGCGCCCGGGGGGUUUUGGGGCGCGCCCGCCGUAUUCUAAGGGUCCGCCGGUCGCCCCCUCGGGGGAGGCCGGUCCCGGAUCCCCAACCCAUCUGAACCCUUCUGCCCUGAAGCAGCUUCGCAAGGGGACACCCCGAGCGACAGUAACAGAGACAACUCUCAACAACGGAUAUCUUGGCUCUCGCAACGAUGAAGAACGCAGCGAAAUGCGAUACGUAGUGUGAAUUGCAAAAUUCCGUGAGUCAUCGAAUCUUUGAACGCACAUUGCCGGUCGACUCUUCGGAGGAGACCACAUCUGCCUCAGCGUCGGGAUACCCCCUCACGCACAACCGCGCGUGGAUCUGGCCCCCCCGGCCCCCCUCGCAGGGGACCGGGCCGGCUGAAAUGCAGAGGCCCGUGCGCGGCCCACUUGUGGCCCCGACUAGGUAGGUAGCUCGCUACUGCUAGGCGGCGGCUCGGUGCCGCGGACUUUGGGCCGCAAGGAUACUCCCAUUCAUUCGACCUGACUCAGGUGAGGCUACCGCUGAACUUA